rnacentral:misc_RNA from 1 species
CUUCUCCGUUCUCACGCUUGACAGGUAGCUUCGCCUCUCCCUAGAAGUGUGAGCGAAUCGGCUGCAAGCAUCGUGCGACUACACCCCUAUCAACGACCGUCUUUCACGCACAGAGAUAGAAUAUCUGAAUCAUGAGCGCUGAUCCCGAGGCGCCAGCGGACCCGUCGCGGGUUAGCGGCGGCCACAUUGUACGCAACAUGAUCUACGCCCACGAUGAGAACCACAACCUGGAGAUUCUCUCGGGGUGGUCGGAGCAGGGGACACGUGAGUAUGACCAGGAGACGGUUCGGCCUGCGAGCGCGAACAUGAACAAGGGUCACCCGUGCUUUCCGCUCAACCAAGAGCUGCUGCGGUGCUCCUACAGCUGCCCCACGGAGAUGAAGCUGGGAGGGCGGACGGCCACCUGCAAUACGGAGCGUCAGGCGCUCAUGCGGUGCCUCGUGAAGAACAAGCAGUGGAAACCCGACGAGACGGAGAGACGGCCGCGGUAUCGCUUCUGGUGAUCAUGCAGUGCGCCAGGCUCUGUCCUCUCUUGCUUCAUCUGCGCUGUCGCCGCGCAUUUCUCUGCUGGUUCCUUCAAGGACAAAGUCGUUGCUUUUCCCCUGCAGGAGAGGAGCAGAAGUGGCUGGUACUGUGUAAUAUGUGGGGUGUUAAGUGCCUAUCGCGUGAUGGCGUCUGUCACAUGCCUUGCCUGCGCUUUGAAAGUGC